CCCAUUGCUCACAAUUUCAUUCCUCUAUAGACAGGUGGAGAUGAACGAGCUCAGAGAGUGGGUUUCCCUGGAGGUCUGGAGAGGCCCCUCCUGGGGAGAAGCCUCUCAUGCUGGCUGAAAGCCCUGGACUGGGCACCCAGCUGCAAUGGGAUGGUGGUGCCAGCCCUGCAGAGCUCCCCAGACAUUGCCCCAGGGGCAGAGCUGUACCAGGAGGGUUAUUGCAGCCAGGAACUGGGCAAAGGUUGAGAAAGUUGGGCGCAGCCCUGUGCUUUCUGCAGCUCUGCUGGGUGUUGUAAGUGAUCUCCCUCCUGGUGGGGCUCCCUGGGAGGAGAACCCCUGGGGGGCUGUCUGCCCCCCUGGGGACCUCUCUCUGAGAUGGGGCUCCCCUGGGGCUGCGGCCACCCCAGCCUCACCGGCCAUGCCAGGGGCCUCCUGACUUCCCUCCUCACUCUGCUCCUCCUCCGGCUGGGCUCAGCCCAGCUCAGAGUGGAGGGACCAGGCCACCCUGUCACUGCCACCGUGGGGCAGGAUGUAGUGCUGCCCUGCCACUUGUCCCCUCAACGCGAUGCUCGCAGCUUGGAUGUUAGGUGGAUCCGGGACCAUAUCUCUGAGACAGUGCACCACUACCGCAGUGGAGAGGACCUGUACAGGGAUCAAAUGGAGGCAUAUUCUGGGAGAACAGAGUUGGCCAGAGACGGUCUCUCUGCUGGAAGACUGGACUUGCGAAUCACAGGACUGAGACCCUCUGAUGAUGGCCUGUACGUCUGCACUGUGGAAGAUGCUGAUGCUUAUGAGGAAGCCAUUGUGGAGCUGAAGGUGUCAGCCACAGGCGCUGACCCCCACCUCUCCCUGGGGGGCUACGAGGCCGGAGGCGUCCGAGUGCUGUGUGGAUCGGCCGGCUGGUACCCGCUGCCGCAGCUGCUGUGGAGGGAUGCUCGCGGGCAGCACCUGCCCUCGGUCUCCCAGACACAUUCCCAGGACCAGGAGGGGCUCUUUGAAAUCGAAGGCGCCGUCAUCGUGACUGGGAGCGUGGAGGGGCCCUUGUCCUGCGUGGUCAGGAACAGCCACAUCCAGCAGGAGAGGGAAUUGUCCCUGCACAUCUCAGCUCCCUUCUUCCACAACGCCCAGCCCUGGAUGGUGGCUCUGGCUCUGGUCCUCGUGCUUUUGGCUGUUUCAUUGGCCUCGGUGUUUAUCUCUUUCGAAAGCAAGGUAAGCUGGCAGCACAGGGAUGGAGCGGAGGGAGGUGUUCUGCAGGGACCCCCCUGGGUGUGGAGCGGGGCUGAGCCCUGGCCCAGGGAGGUGCGUAGGAGGAGGAAGGGAAUGUUCUCCUGGGGAUGCCAAAGGCCUUAGGAUUGUCUUCGGCCUCUGCCUCGGGCAACGAAGGCGAGGGAGAAGGCAAGGGGCCUUGGCUGGGAGGCCAGGGAGCAUGGCUGCAGCGUGGGGCUGGUGGCAAGGCGCAGCCACCCUGCACAUGUUCCCACCCAGCAACCAAGCUGCUCUGCUCACCACCUGUUCCUCUGCCUUUGCUUUUCAGCAGCACAGAGCCGAGAGCUGGGAGAGUCCUUGCAGUCCCUGCCCCCAGCCCCUGGGGAAGUGGUGUCUGUGUGGGAGGGCCUGGUCUGGGUGGGCUCUGGGGGCUUGUGUGCUGGUGGCUCGGGGGUGCUGCAGGAGCAGCUGGAGCCUGGGGUGGGAGUGGGGAGUGCUGGGGCUGGGGCUGCCCUGGGCACGGGACACGGCCGGGAUGGCUGAAAGGAACAGGGAUCAAGGUGGGGACGGGGAGCAAGCUGUGAGGCUGCCCCGCUCUGCACUGACGCUUCUGGGACAGGGACGUCCUCCACCCGUCCCCAUUCACUUCCCUUUGUGUUUUGGUGGCACGGUGCAGAGAGCUGCACAAGUGUCUGUCCUUACUGCUACAAGUCUUGCAAAAAGCUGGGCCUCCGUCUUUGUUAGUCUGGUCACUACAAGUCUGGGAGCAGGGUGGUCUGUGCCCAUGCAAAAGAGCAAAAUAAUUUGGGGUCUACCCAUGGAAGCAGCAAUGGCGUGAAAGUCUCUCCACUCUGACCAUUCAUUUCUUUUACUUUUUAUAGCAGCGAAAAAGGAUGCAAAGCUGGUGAAACAAGCUGCAGAGAUAG